rnacentral:rRNA from 1 species
UACGUAGGGGGCUAGCGUUGUCCGGAUUUAUUGGGCGUAAAGAGCGUGUAGGCGGCCAGAUAGGUCUGCUGUGAAAACUCGAGGCUCAACCUCGAGCUGUCGGCGGAAACCAUUUGGCUAGAGUCCGGAAGAGGAAAGUGGAAUUCCUGGUGUAGCGGUGAAAUGCGCAGAUAUCAGGAAGAACACCCGUGGCGAAGGCGGCUUUCUGGGACGGUACUGACGCUGAGACGCGAAAAGCGUGGGGAGCGAACAGG